rnacentral:rRNA from 1 species
GAUGAACGCUGGCGGUAUGCUUAAUACAUGCAAGUCGAACGAACAGAUCAGGAGCUUGCGCGGACGGGGGUAGCACGGGACGGAAGAGGAAUUUGGGGUUGGGACAACCACUGGAAACGGUGGAUAUUGGCAGACGGGACGUAAGGUAAGAGAGAAUUUGCCUGAAGAUGAGCUCGCGUCUGAUUAGCUAGUUGGUGAGGUAAAGGCGCACCAAGGCAGCGAUCAGUAGCGGGUCUGAGCGGAUGACCAGCCACACUGGGACUGAGACACGGCCCAGACACCUACGGGAGGCAGCAGUGGGGAAUUUUCCGCAAUGGGCGAAAGCCUGACGGAGCAAUACCGCGUGAGGGAAGAAGGCUCUUGGGUUGUAAACCUCUUUUCUUAGGGAAGAACAAAAUGACGGUACCUAAGGAAUCAGCAUCGGCUAACUCCGUG